GUUUACAAUUAUGUUAUUGCUAUUUUCGAAUGCGUAUUGUUUGUUGGUAGUUUAUGGAACGCGCACCUAUAAUUUAUAUAAUUUAAAGGAUUACAUAUAAAUAUACUAUAAAACACUAUAUAUAUAAAUAAUAUGUAUCUAUAGGUCCAUAAUAAAAUAUUUACACAUAUGCUUCACGAACAAAGUAUUACAACACAAUUUAUCUCCACCACUCAAGCAUCGUACAAAUGAUCAUCGUUAUUUGGUUUCAUCUGCUCCUGAGGGUUGAAGUAGCACUCGCCGCC
rnacentral:lncRNA from 1 species